ensembl:lncRNA
GAUUAGCAGGCUCUGAGGUACCAAGCACGGAUUGCUGCUGCUGAGAGUAUAAUGGCUAUUGAAAUUCACAUAUUCACAGGUAUUUCCAGGUGGCACUGCAAAGAGGGGACUGUAGAGAAGGCUUUGGACCAUAAAUGCUGCAACCAUGCUAAGUAACACCAAGAGCAAAAACCCUGUCCCUGGUAAGUGGCACUGACCUGUUCCUGCCAUUUGAAGAUCCUCUCUGACUUCAGAUUAUGGAUCCUCAGUGAAAAAGGACUCUCUUCAGCUUGGAAAGUUCCUGGCAGAGGCAUUCUGCAGAGAAGUGAAUGCAUGUCCCUGACGUGCAACAAGCUGCCACAAGGUGUCUGCUAUGCUGCCAGGUUCUCCAAGGCAGCUCAAAGGCUCACCUCUGCCUGGUGAGCCAGUGGAGGGAGUUCAGGGGCACAAAGGUAAGAUGGAGUUUUUGGUUUCUCUAAAAGCCUUUGGUUUUGCUUAUGAUUUGUUUUGCAGAGCUCACUGAACAAGGAUGGGGCUUCAUGGGUAUGCUGUGGCUUAGCAUAGCUACAGAGACAUGUUGCGUGAUUGCCCUCAGCACAUGGUCUACAACGUGUUGUGUCAUCCAAGCUCUGGAAGGUGAGAGGCUCGAAAACAGCUGCAUCAGGUUUGCAUGAGGACAAGGGUGUUACUAAUUCUCAGACACAAUCUGUGAUGGAAAUUGUGAAGCAUUCUGCAGGUGAAUUCAGUUCUCCCAAUUUCCAGACUUGUAAGGUCAGUAUUACUGUUCCUGUAUCAUAACUGGGGAAAUGGACAGGGUCACAUAGCAGAUCAAGGACAGACCUGGGAAAAUAAUGCAGCUACCUUUUCUUCAAGUCUCCUGGUCUAACCCAUUUGCGUUUUCUUCACUAUUUUCUGAUUAAGACACAUAUCAGUUCUUUUUUUCAUGUCAAUAUAUUGUACAGUGUCUACACCCACAGGCCCUGAACAACUUCCCAA